AAUCUUGUACCUCCGUCCGAAAAUACUUGUCAUUGAAAUGGAUGUAUCUAGAUGUAUUUUAGUUCUAGACACAUCCAUUUUGAUGACAAGUAAUUUCGGACGGAGGGAGUACUUG
rfam:Triticum aestivum genome assembly, contig: Triticum_aestivum_CS42_TGACv1_scaffold_078871_1DL